CCACCUUGAAACCCUUGCCAGACGCCACCUGGUCGGCUCCCACCUCCUCCUUACGCCGCUGGGCCCGCGAGCCCACAACCAGCCCGCCCGGGUCCGAAGCAGCUGCAUCCCUAGUGCCCAGCCCUGCCUUCGUGAUCCCUUGCCCCUAGCGCGCGCUGCCGCCUGCACCUCGCCGCCUCCCCUGUGCCGGAUCCACCUGCGCCGCCGCCUUGUCUCCCCGCACCGCACCGCAUCUUGCCGCAGUUCUCGCGCGUCGUCGGUCCCCGUCGAACCGUGCCGCUGCAGCCUUCCUCGAUCUAGAUCGAGAUCUAGCGCCGCCUCGCGUGGACGUUGACUGAGCCGGCUCCCGUGGGCCACGCGCCUCUCGACCCGUUCCCCCAGCCGGCCUCCUCAGCACGCCAAGGCCCAGCUCCUCCUUCGGCAUGCCUCACCCUCCUCUCCAGGCCGGCCCAUGGCCACGAGGUGAGCGCCCCCUCUAUCCCUCACCCCGAGCAGCGUUUUAGUCAUUUUGCGCUACCAUGUUUCGGCCCAGGUUAGGAAUUCGGCCCGGUAGUUGUUUUCUUUAGGAUUUUGGAUUUAUUUAAUUUCAGGAAGUUAUAGAUAUUUCAAAGGCCCGUAGAUAAUUAUUCGUGCGUCGGAUCCGACAAAUGUUAUAUGUAACGUGUGUAGUUUUUUGCGUAGAGUAUUAUUUUGCAACUUGUAUGGAUAUUUGAAGUGGUUUGACCUGCCGUAUGCCUAGUUUUGCAUGCUGUCCUAUUAGGUUAAUAUUGUCGUAGCUAUUUUUGUGCAUGCCGGAUUGCUUAAACCCCGUAGAUAAAAUGUUCACGAUGUUCGUGACCCUUUGCCCUGUAUUUUAGAGUAGUUGCUUGCAUUUUUGCAUGUAGGAGCUGUCAAUAGUUUGCUAUGUCGUGUUUAGGACAUAUUCUCGCAUAUAUGUGUGGCGUUAGUUUUAUUUUUCAACCCCACAUAUUAUAUUUGUUUUCGGGGUAGAAAAAUCUAUAGAACUUAACUGGGCAAUUAGUUUUGUCUUGUAAGUAAGUUAGUGUGCAUGAUAUUUUGCCAUGUCGCCCUCUUGUCUAUUUUGUGUGAUUUAUUCCGUGCAUGAUAUGAAAUAGUUGUGAUCUAGAUAUAUGCCCUUGGAUAUGUAUGCUAGUCCCUGGUAAUUUUGGUUGCUUUAGAAAUCCAUUUUUAGGUGUUGUUUGCUUGUUGCCAAGAUGCUAGAAAAUAGUGCUGAUUUGGAGAUGCUGAAAUAUUUCUAAGUCUGAGAUUUGUUAUACUCUGCUGUUGUCUUGCCAUGACAUUUGCUAGUGAUCUACAGCUCCUUUGGGGUUGGGGCAAUGGUGUUAUUUGUAGUACUUAAGAUUCUCUAGAAUGCUGUAAAUUUUCAUGCCAUUCGGUGCCCCGUAGCAUAUAGUUUUACUUCUGUCAAUAUGCCUUCUGGUUGAAAAUUGCACUGUCAAAACUGUUAUUUUCUCUAAGUCUGAAACUGUGUGCGAGAUGCCAUUUUGUGAGUUCUUUUCCUAGUGUUCCAUGCUUCCAUUAUAGUCGUAUUUAGUAGGGUGAUAUUUUGCAUCUUGACCACUACUGCCUCAUGUCUUGUUUGAGCAUUUUAGAAUUAUGUAGCUUGUUGUUUUGGGGUGUAGAAAAUGCCAUGUUGCUGUUUUUGGCAGAUUGUAGCUAUUUCUUGUGUAGCUUGUAUUUCUUGAGCAGUUGCUCCGUUUGGAAGGUGCCAUAUAUGAAACUUGCUUAGAGUCUCGUGUAUCUUCAUAAUAUGUAGCUCCCUUCUUGGUUUGCAAUGUUUGUGGCUGUUAUUCGCAUACAUAUUGCAUUCAUGGCAUCAUAUCUUGCGGUGACCAUAUCUUUUGAACUGUAGCUCCGUUUGCAAUGAUCUGUAUGUGUAAAUUUAUUGAAACAAUGCGUAGAAUGACGUGAACUACUUUAUUUUUCUUUUUAACAAGUAUCAAAACAUGUUAGUUCAGAUCUGGACAGAAUUCAAAUUUAACGUGUGGGGUCAUUUAGGAGAUGCUAUACAUCGUUUCCGACCUCAUUUAAAAUGCCUAGAUAGGUAGUUGAAUUUUGCUUCACCUCUUGCCAUGUUUAACAACAUUAAUAUUGCCGUGUAAAUAAACGGGAGUGAACUAAACAGUCAAACGUGGAGUUUCGUCAAUAUGCAACUCGUUGCAUAUUGAACUUAACUUAAUGUGUACUGUUUGAUUGUUGUAAAUUGCCAUGCCAUACCUUGCAUAACUGAGGCCGAUCGUGCAUCAUAUGUGUUGUGCAUUAUGUCAUGCAUGUACCCUGGUGAAUAUCGUGUGUUGAUCUUGUUUCCGUUUGCUUCGUCUCGAUAGAGUUCCGCAGCGUGUCGGAAUGUGAGGAUCCGUUCGACUACUUCAGUUCGUCUGCUUCACCGAGUCAUUCUUCUUCCAAGUUAGAUCCCAGGCAAGAUGAAUAUUUCCCUAGAUACCAUUAUCAUCAUUGCCAUGCUAGUUGUCUUGUUUCUUUCGUUAUGUCUUGUUGCCUACCACAUGUUAAAUAUCAGCCUCCCAACAUUGCCAUGAUAACCUUCAACCUGAUCACAACCUAGCAAACCAAUGAUUGGCUAAGUUACCACUUGCUUAACCAUGUGUUAGCGUUGCUAGUUGCAGGUGCAGUUGCUUCCAUGUGAUAACAUGGGUUCCUUGUUAUAUCACCAUAUUAAUUUAUAUUUAAAUUUAAUGCACCUAUAUACUUGGUAAAAGGUGGAAGGCUCGGCCUUUCUAGCCUGGUGUUUUGUUCCACCUUUGCCGCCUUAGCUUCGGCUACCGGUGUUAUAUUCCAUAAUUGAGCACUCCUAACACGAUAGGGCUUGUUAUGGGGACCCCCUUCAUAAUUCGUUUUGGACUAAGACUGGUCUAGCAAGGCCCAACUUUGGUACUACAUUUUCCUAAUAACUUAAUAAAAUUGCAUAGGGACUUUCUGGACCCCGUGGAUAAUUAAUCAACCCCCGGGCCAGUGCUCCGCAUGAGUGUUGGUCCAAACUAGCAGACUACAGGGCCACCGCGGGGCAACCCGAGGUUUGGUUUUACGCCUAGUGUGACCCAUUCGCCGUGUCCUGAGAACGAGAUACACGGCUCCUAUAGGGGUCGUCGACACGUCGGGCGGCCUUGCUGGAUUAGUUUUACCUUUGAUGAAAUAUCUUGCGUAUCGGGAUUCCGGUGAUACUUUGGGUAAUCUCAGAGUUGAGGUUUUCCACUAAGGAGUCCGACGAGAUCGUGAGUUUCGUGAUCGAGGAUUUCUACGUGGCUUGUGGUAAUUUGUGAUGAACUAGUUGGAGCACUCCUGCGGGGUUAAAUCUUUCGGAAAGCCAUGCCCACGGUUAUGUGGCUACGUGGAAACUUUGUUUAACAUCCGGUUCUAGAUAACUUGAAGUAAGCUUAUUGAAAAUAUGCCAACUGAGUGCGUAACCGUGAUUGUCUCUUCCGUGAGCCCCUUCUCCGGUCGAGGACACGGUGGGGUUAUGUCUGACGUAAGUAGGUGUUCAGGAUCAUUCAUUUGAUCAUUAGUAGCUCACGUUCGUUGUGCGUAGAGCACCCCCUCUUAUUCUUGUAAUCGUAAGUUAGCCACCUUAAAUACAUGCUUAGUCGCUUGCUGCAGCCUCACCACUUAACCAUACCUCACCCAUUAAGCUUGACUAGUCUUGAUACCUUCGAAAAUGAGAUUGUUGAGUCCUCUGUGGCUCACAGAUUACUACAACACCAGUUGUAGGUACAUGUAAAGUGAUAUUAAGACGUGACCGCGAUGAUUGUUCAUUUGGACUUCUUCUUCUUCUUCAUCAUCGAUCCAGGAUGGGUUCCAAGCCGGCAGCCUGGGAUAGCAAGGAUGGACGUCGUUCUUUUAUCGUUUGUUUUCGUCCAUAGUCGGACCCUUCUCAUCUUCAUGAAGAUUAUGUAUUGUACUGAUGUGACUCUGAUGUAGCUUGUAGCGAGUGUAAGCCAAUUCCAUAUACACAUCUUUUCAGUACAUGUACUUGUAACGAUAUCAAUUCUUGAGAAACGACGAGAUGCGCUUCUAUCCGUGUCGAGGACCUCGUGCCAAAAUAAGAAUAGGGUCGCAUCUUGGGCAUUACAGUCUGGUACAUUCAUGAGAGGCAGUAAGGGCACACCAAACAUAACAAAACAAUUGAAGCGCUAAAUAAUCUAGAACCGAUCAAAUAAACUCUCGAAAAGAGAUGACCAUGGUGGAAGUGGAGACGCAAUCAACCCGAAAGUGCCGUGUAAGAGAGGUAGUGACCAUCCAAAAGUGUGGUAGAAGAGAGAGCCGUGACAUUCAACCUACGAGCCGUCGCAAUAGUUGAUGAUGCUUUCCCUCAGCCAUCCCAUUUCUGAGCAUGACCACCAGGAUAAGAGAAUGGAGCAAGAGCACCAUACUCAACAAGGAUUGAACGCAACAUCAUGGAGAUUUAUUCUACACCAGAGUCAUCACAGAAUACAAGUAUAGGCAUAGGGAACUUGGUGUGAACCAUGGGAGAAAAACGCAUACACAGAUAAGACCUCACUACGAAAGGAAAUAAAGUAUAUCUAGGUGUGUUGAGGGAAGUCAUCUAUAAAUAUAGUACUAGUGUUGACCUCCUUUUGAGGCAAAAGAAUAUGGACCCCACACAUCAAAGUGAACAAGGUUGAAAUGAUGUUGAGACAGUGUAUCGCUAUGAGCAUAAGCUAACUAUAGUUGAUUACCAAGCCGACAACCCAAACAGUUUAGAGACAUCGUCGGAGACUAAUGCAAGAAGACCACAUAAAACUAAGGAUGCGAGAUGAGAGCCACACAAGUGACCCAGGGUGACGAUGCCACUUCUGAGCAUAAUUGGUAGACAAGGUAACAAAGGUGGAGAGACUAGCGGUUGUAGCAACAGAGUCGCUUGAUCUAGCAACCUACGUGCCUGUGCGCUCUCCGUUACUCGCCGAUCCGGCUUGGUGUGCUUCUCCUGUUUGCAGGUUGUGUGCCACACACUUGAUUUAGCACCCCACAUUCUCCUACAGUGCGCCCUUGACCCUGGCUUUAGGUAGCAUCGUGUCCUUGGCCUGUAGUGCAUAAUCCAUGUAUGCACCAACUGUUCGAGCUCCUACUCACCAUUGGUGUUGCUCGAGCGUGGGUUCUGGUGUCGCCCAUAAAGGGAAUACGGGAUGUGGGAUUAAGACCGUUCACAUAGCAACCCACAACAAGGCAAUGGAUGCCCAUCCAACUGGGAGGGAGCGGAGGUGGACCCAAAAAGGUGGAUGUUGACUCCAUAGGAAUCUCAACAGUACGCUUGUCCAUAAGAGCAGCACGACCAAGAAGAUCCUUGAUAUACUUCUCUUAGCAAAUAAAGAAGCCAUCAAAGGUAGAAUCUGGGAAGUAGCAAUGAGGACCAAGGUCACACAUAAGAAAAUCACUGUGACGAGCCUUGACAAAGCCAAUGUACUUAAGAGUCGUGCGGGAUCAUGAGCACUCAUUUAAAAACGAGCCGCAUUAACCACAAAGACAACGCUCAAAAUAGUCAUGAGUGGUUUGCUUAAGAACAUAUAGAGAACGCCGAAGGCGACAAACCAUGCGAGCUGGAAACAAAUACCCAAGUGGUGGCUAGAUGUAGGCAUUGUUGACAUCAAGCUGAGAGAGAGAAAGAGAGCCUAUAUUGGCAAACAGAAGCACAUCGAAAAGUGUGCCAAAAGUGGUCAACUGGGCCAUAUAGGAGCAAAUUUCUCAUCGUAAUCAUGACUAUAUGUUCUCGGCACUAGAUGAUCUUUGUAAAGCUCUAGAGAAACACCAUAGUCUCACCAUUGUGGGCCUAGUUACCAGUGAUUGGACGAGCAAGAGGAGGAAGGGAAAUGAGAUUCCACUAGCCGAUGAGGGAAGAGCAUUUCAUUCCAUCACAUGCUGCCAUUCUGGAUGAAAAAAUGAAAUGAUAAGAAGUCUUCUUGCGAAGAUCACUGCAAUAACUAACCAUAGCAGUCAAUAGCAGAAGCGGGCGAGCUCGAAAGCCAUAAGAUGCUGAUCUGGAGCUAUGUGUUGCCAACAAAAGCAAAUGUUUCAUCAUAGUCAUGACUAUAUGUUCUCACCACUAGAUAAGCUUUGUAAAGCUCAAGAGAAACAUCAUAGACUCACCCUUGUGGGCCUUGUUAUAAGUGAUGAGAUGAGCAAGAGGAGGAACGGAAAUGAGAUUCCACUAGCCGACGAGGGAAAAUCAUUUGAUGCCAUCACAUGUUGCCAUUGUGGAUGAAAAAAGGUCAUGAUUUGAAGUAUUCUUGUGAAGAGCACUACAAUGACUAACCAAAGUAGUCAAUAGGCAGAAACGCACGAGCUCGAAAGCCAUAAGUAGGUUGAUCUAGAGCUAUGUGUUGCCAAUAGAGGAAGACAUAGUAGUCGAGAGGGAUGACUCAUUAGAAGAAUCCACAACACGCGAACAAAUGAUUGCAAUAAAGUCAAGGAGUACGAGC
rnacentral:lncRNA from 1 species